rnacentral:rRNA from 1 species
UACGGGGGGAGCAAGCGUUGUUCGGAUUUACUGGGCGUAAAGGGCGCGUAGGCGGUCGUGACAAGUCACUUGUGAAAUCUCCGGGCUUAACUCGGAACGGUCAAGUGAUACUGUCGGACUAGAGUACAGAAGGGGCAACUGGAAUUCUCGGUGUAGCGGUGAAAUGCGUAGAUAUCGAGAGGAACACCAGUGGCGAAAGCGGCUCACUGGACCACAACUGACGCUGAUGCGCGAAAGCUAGGGGAGCAAACAGG